GAUGAACGCUAGCUACAGGCUUAACACAUGCAAGUCGAGGGACCGGCGCACGGGUGAGUAACACGUAUCCAACCUGCCCUUUACUCGGGGAUAGCCUUUCGAAAGAACGAUUAAUACCCGAUGUAAAGGAUGGGGAUGCGUUCCAUUAGGUUGUUGGUGAGGUAACGGCUAACCAAGCCUUCGAUGGAUAGGGGUUCUGAGAGGAAUGCCCCCCAGAUUGGAACUGAGACACGGUCCAAACUCCUACGGGAGGCAGCAGUAAGUAAUAUUGGGAAAUGAGCGGUAGCGUGAACCUGCCAAGUAGCUUGAAGGAUGAAGGCGUAUGGGUGGUAAUCGUCUUUUAUAGAAGAAUAGGUAUUCUAUGAAUAAGGAUCGGCUAACUCCGUGCCAGCAGCCGCGGUAAUAC
rnacentral:rRNA from 1 species